ensembl:snRNA U6 U6 spliceosomal RNA
GGGCUGCUCACUUCAGCAGCUCAUAUACUAACAUUGGAACAAUACAGAAAAGAUUAGCAUGGCCCCUUUACAAGCAUGACACACAAAUACGUGAAAUGUUCCAUAUUUUC